UCGUCGAAGUCCUUUUUGCCCCAACCGGUAAGUCUCUAGACGUUACAGAGAACCCCGAACAACCCAAACUGUUAAUCUUCGAUACCGCUUUGUACUCAUGAUCUUGUAUCCACUGACUGUCUCGUUAGAUUAAUCCAACAAAUUUCAUUCACUCCGCAUACUCAAUCCUAUACACACCCUUUAAAUUCUCCAAUCACAGACGUAACUCCGAUUUUACAAAACAGUCAAGAGUGAUCACACCCACUUCAUUAAAAAUCCCGAUUCACCAUUACAACACUGACUUCAGCAAUGAUUGCCUCAGUCUUCCCAAAACCCUAUGAAGAAGAAAAAUCCAAUUCUCUAUCUUUUCUUCCCCGACCCCGAAGCAUGAAGCUAGCUCUCCUAUCUUCAAAAACUCCCCAUAGAAAAAACCCCCCCAAAACUUAUUCUGCCACUAACCUUAUCCUCUGAAUUUCUUCAAUCUUUUGUCUUGGAUCCGAAAUUGGCUCCCGCCGUCAGAGCUUAGAUCCAAAAUUGGCUCUCGCCAUCAAGGCUUAGAUCCAAAAUUGGCUCUCUCCAUCAAGGCUUAGAUCCAAAAUUGGCUCUCGCCGUCAGAGCUUUCUCCUCCGUUUUUACCUUUAAGAAAUCCAUUUACCGAAAACAAUGUUCCUUGAAACAGCACAGAGAACAAGACAGCCUGAAACAGAAUCGAAACCCAGUAAUCGGGACCACAUCGAGUCGCCCGACCUAUUCAGGUCUCAUAUUGGAUAAGAAUCCAGUAGUAAGACCCGGAUUUUCCCGUAAUUAGACUGCAUUGGGUUGCCCGACCAAUUCAGGUCUCAUAUUGAGUAAGAUGCCCGUAGUAACCUAGAUGUUCGCGUAAUUGGGUCAAAUUGGUCCUUCCCGUCAGAUUGGUUGAGGCCCGUACUAAGACCUGGAUUUUCCCGUAAUUAGACUGCAUUGUGUUGCCCGGCCAAUUCAGGUCUCAUAUUGACUAAAAAGACCCGGAUUGGAUUCUUGAAAUUGGAUCCAAUUGGCUCUUCGAACCAGGCUCAUCCGUCGUAUGAAUUGGUCCUUUUCUUUUUUGCUGACUCCCGUAAUUGGAAUCGAAUGGAGCAUUUCAGUAUGCCUCGGCUCACUGUAACGGGGUGACUGAACCUGGCCACUCAGUAUUUGUAUUGGAGUUGGUCGUUGCUCUCAAUAUUCGAGAUAACUGAAUAUUAAUAAAAGUCCCUUUUCUUUAUAUUUUCAUGGUAUACUCGUAUUACAACAUGACAUCCACCUCCUCUGAACCUGUACAUCCUCCGGUAUGCACCAAUUUAUCCAAUUGCUGUUUGAUUAAGAAUAUAUCCUCUACGACUUUGUCUAAUUCGUCUUCGUCACCUUCAUUAUCCAAAUCACUUUCAAUCGCUUGCUGCGGAAUCUCUAUACCUUCAUUAAGGUCUUCCAUAUUCAUCUCUGCAUGUCUUCGUUUAAAUAUUUUUACUCGCUUCCCUGCAAUUGGUAUUUUCAAUUUUAUACCAUCUAACUCCCGUAAUGAGUGAGUCGCAUUAUCAUGAAUAGUUGUUACUACAUAUGGUCCAAACCAACGUUUUGAAAAUUUCCGCAAAGUACUAUGUUGAUUAUCCAGACUAUUAUCAUAAAUAAAUACCCAGUCACCUUCCUCGAUUUUUUUUGGUCUCAAUCGAUGUUGCUUAUCGAAUCGCGCCUUUUCUUAUAACCUUGCUCUUUUUAACCUUUCCAAUGCUAUCUGGACAUCUUCCGUUCUUUGCUCCAAUUGUCGAAUCCUAAUAGCUAGAAGUUCUUCUCUUAUCAAUCCAUCUUCCCAUGGUAGCAUACUCCAAGUAAGUACCUUUUUUUCAAUCGGCAUAAUUGGUUUUCGACCUGUCAUAAGUUCUACUCGCAUAUAUCCUGUCACCGAACUAUGUGUUGUUCGAUUAGUCCAUAAUGUAAAUGACAAAAGCCGUGGCCACUCUUUAACUUUCCCAUUACAAGCUUUAACUAAUGCUUUCACAAUCGGUGGGUGACCGCGUUCGCUUUUUGCAUUCCCUUCUGGAUUAUAAGCAAUAGUCAGUGAUAGUUUAACUCCACAUCUUUCAAAGAACUUACGAGCUUCUUGUACAUUUAAUUCUCCACGAUCUGCAGUGAUUUUUCCUACGCAUCCGUAGCGGCAAAUGAUAUCUUCAAGCAAAAACCUACAAAUCCCCUCUGUAGAUUUUGUCCUCAAUGCUCUUCUUUCUACUUGAUUUGAUAAAUCUUCGCGAGCUAAAAUCAAAUAUUUCAUCUACCAUAACCCAACCGGCAUAAUAACCAAAUCAACAACCCAUUUAAAAUGAAUAGCCAGAGGAUACGUAGGAUGAAGACCAUCUUGAUGUCGGAUAUUAGAAAACGAUUGACGGAUUUCACAUGACUCUACAAAUGAGAGCACAUCUCGAUACAUAUUUUUCCACCAAUAUCGUUCUUUGAGUUUAGCAAAAGUAGCCUAGAUUCCUCUAUGCCCUGCCCAUAAACUAUCAUGAAACUCCUUUAAUAAUUUUAGUCUAUCUUUCUUUUUGCCUAUCACUCGUUGUGGCAUCCCAAUUCCUUUCUUCGGUCUCUUCCAUAAGAAUCCAUCUCGAAGUAAAAAUCCAUAUGUUUUUUUUCUUAUUUGUUUGAAUUUUUCUGUAGACCAAUUUCCCUGCUUAGUCAAGGUAUUUAAGUAAUGACCAAUAUCCAAUAAUUCUCUUUCAUAAGUUUCUUCAAGAAAUAGCUUGUCUUCUCUGUUGAAAUUUGAUAUUGAAUAGAAUUUCAAUCCGACGUCAUCAAUGUCUUCAACCAUUUCAACCUCCCUCUCGUAUCUUGCUUGAGAGAGCAUGUCUACUACUAAAUUGUCUUUCCCAGUAAUAUGCUUAAAUUCUAGAUUUAGUGACUUAAUAUAAGCAAUCCAUCUCAACAUUGCUAUAUGUGGCGUUGAACAGUUAAUAAUUAUUCCAAGCAAUGGCAAGCAAUCUGUUUCAAUUACUACUACUGCCCCAAUCAAAUAAUCCCUUUCAGCUUUCAUAGCCGAAACGACCCUCCAAAGUUUUCUUUUGACUUGUGAAUAUGCACGCUGACGAAUACUAAAAACUUUAGCCCCAAAUCAAACUGCAAAUCUAUUCCCACUUGAAUCAUCUUGACCCACAGCCCAUCCAAUGGCAAUUGGACUAGUGUCCACAGUAAGAAUCACUGGUCUAUUGCACUUAUAAUCAACCUUCCUCAAUAUUGGAGGUGACAUCAAUAAUUUCUUCAAUCUUUGCAUUGCCUGAAUAUGCCUUUUUUUCCAUUUAAAUCGGUAACCCUUGCGUAACAGUUCAUAUAAUGGAUCCGUUAUGUGAGCAAAAUGAAGGAUCCAGAUUUGAUAAAAUACACAUGCACCCAAAAACUUGCAAACCUCUAUUAAAGAAUCACAAUCUUCUUUCAUCCUUCCAAUUGCAUCAACUUUAGUCGGAUCUGGUUUUCUUUCGUAAGAUCCACAUAAAUGUCCAACAAUUACAACCUCUCGUACUCCAAAUACGGACUUCAUACCCGAUAAUGUAAGAUGAACUUCUCCAAGCCGAGUUAAAAUCUUUUCACAAUCUUGUAUAUGAUCAAUAACAUAUUUGCGACACCCCCUCGUAUCUAAAGUAUCAUCCUUGUCUCCUUCUCUGCACCCUUUUAUAAGAACAUCAUCCAAAAAAGGCAUAGUCUUUUUCGGAAUAAAAUCUCUCAAUACCUUAUUCAUCCCAUUCAUCAUAUGCGCAACUGAGUUGGUCGCGCCUUGAGGAAGAGUGCACAUUCUAACCAAUCCAAGAAGUAUCCUCAUUGUUGUCAUAUCUCUACUUCCUUCGGCAAGUUGAAAUUGAUCAUAACCUGAAUACAAAUCACCCAUUGAAUAGAUCGCCCUUCCAGCAAACGCCUCAGCAAAUUCAUCCACAAUAGGUCCAAUUCCUGCAUUCCUGACAGUUACAACAUUCACCGGCUGCAUAUCUUGAAUAAACCGCAGUGACCCAUUCUUCUUAGGUACCGUAAACCAUCGACUAGAAUACGGCGCAAAUGAAGGUUCUAAUAUUUUCAUCUUUAUCUUUUCUUUCAAUAGUUCCACCAAUUUAGGUAAAUGUGCCCUCGGUACUGGAAUCGGUCUUAGAUUCCAAGGUACAUGCGGUACAGUGAAGAUAACCAUAGGUGUUAUAAUAUUUGGAUCCACACACCCAAUUUCAUGAGAUUUGAAGGCAAACGAUCUACCUUGUUUAGCCAACAUCUUUUUGAAGCAAGUAAUUUCCUCUAAUAAUAAAGAACCAUCAGAACCAAUCUUCAAUUCUUCAAAAGUUUGUUUAGUAAACUGAUGUCCAAUACUCAUUGGAUCUCUUAAACUUGCUUCUUUUGAUGCUUUUCCCAUUUGUUCUUUAGAAUCUUCUGGUAAUGGUCCGACAACAUGCUUUACCUUCUUAUCUGCCAUUUUAUAUCUCGUCUCUACAGUGACUUCUUGUGCUUGAAAAGAUUCAAGUAUGGUAUAAACCUCUCUUGAAUGAAUCUCAACAAUCUUAUCAUUAUGUCCUAACCCAAUAGAUGUAAUCAAUUCCAAUGAAUCUUCCAAUCCAUUUUCUUCAUAAACACCUAAAAUCCUCUCAUCAUCUUGCAAUGUACCUAACUUGUGUAAUUCUCCUUCAAUAUUAUAUAAUCUUUUCUUUCUUUUCUUUUAAAAUCAUGAACUUUCUUAUACAUAAUAUUUCCAUUCUCCAAUAUACCAAUAAAACUCGCAUCAAAGGCACAUUCAUCUCGCGAGAGUACCUCCUCUUUUGUACCUCCAUAAUCUCGCUUUACAGUGGUACCUCCCCAAAAUCCUUAAAUCCUUCAACAAUCUUUCGCAAUGGUUUCUUCCUCAACCUAUCUCAAUUCCGUUCAUGGUUAGGAGGUACUGUUAGAAAUUGUACAGCUUUCCUCCCAUCUUCGCUCCGUACCCUUGCAUAAGCAGAACCAUCGUCAAGUAAUUUUGUUUCCAUCCGUGUUGCCGUAAUAUAAGGUUGUCCUAAAAUCAACGGAUAAGACGUUGUAUCUUGAACAAAGAAAUGUUGCUCCGUCGCAACAUCCCCAAUCCGAAUUUUGACAUCUGGACAAGCUCCAUAUAAUUCGCCCCGUGUGUUAUUAGCCGCUCGAAUUACCCAUCCAUGUUCCAUAUCAAUUGGCCAUUUUUGCUUCUUAUAAAGAUCUUUAGACAUGAGAUUUAUUUCAGAACCAUGGUCGACUAAAGCAACUAUUGGUUCUUCUAUAUCUCCUACUUUCACCAAUACCUCAGUAGUUGCCCUUGCCCAAUGCUUUCGAGUAUAAUGGCUCAAAGUUUCUAUUUCCUUGUCACUAGAAUCUUCGAAAUGUACUCGUUGAUUAUACCCAUUCCUUUGAUUUGUUGGUUGCUUGUAACCAAUAUUAACCUCUUCUUCAUCUCUAUAUGUUCUUGCAUCAAUAGCAUGACUCAUUCCAGUUUCGCCCAUUAAUUGCAACUUUCGCUUAAUGCUGUCAAUGAUAACAUCAUGAAAUUCCUUCUUUGCAAUUCUCAAAACUUCUUUCAAUGUGAACUCCACCUUAGCAUUUAAUAUACGUUCUUCCAACACCCCUUUCAAAUCUGUUGCCGCUUCAAUGUCAGAAAGUAGCUUAUAAGCAAUCAAUUUGCACUUAUCUUUUGUCUCCUUUGUUUUUUCUCCAAAUGAUGCUGAGGUAUCCUUUAUAGGCAAUUCUUGUGAAGCUGCCUUUCGAGCCUUGUCUCCUCGAGUUUGCCUCUUAGAAGAAUUUCCUUCUCUAGUAUCAUCAAAAUUUCCUCGUCUUUUUUCUUCCAUCAAAGCUUCAUGUUGGCUCUUAGUAAUAUAUGCAUGAACUGAAAGAGACUCAACAGGAUCCUCUCAACCUGUUCUACCUCGUAUUGUAGCUGCAGUCCUCCAUAACGCUUCUCGAGGUAAUUUCCCUUCUUGCAUUGUAGCAACGGCAGAAGCCCAAAACUCACUAGUUUUCGUACUUCCACCAAUUUCAUCAUCUACUCUAGCACCAUAACUUGCACUUUCUUGUGCUGCUGUUUCAUGCUCUUUUAGAUAAUCUUGAACCAAUGCUCUCAUUCCACCCUUGCCAAAAUUGGUUUGAAAAAGAUCCUCUCUAUUUUUCAAUACUAUCUUUCCAUCUUUCCAGCAAAUAAUUCCCUGCCAUAUCAUAUUAUUAAAUUCAUUGCAAUCUUUUCUAGUGUGUGAAGCAUCAUCACACCAAAUGCAUCUUUGUACAUAUCCUUGUUUUGAAACAUUUUUCAAAUUGUUUAUAGAAGUAUUCUCUUCAAGUCUUGCCAAUUUGAUUUAAAGAUCUCGCAUUCCUCGUAUAAUUUCUUCCAUCCCCAUAUCUGCUUUCUUUCAUAAGGAUGUCGAAGGUUGAACUGUAGGCAUUGUUGGUGGUGUUGUAUGUAUUGGAGCUUUGGGUGCUUGUACUGUUUUCGGAAUAUUGCUUCUAUCCUUCCUCCUUUCUCUUUUUGUAAGUAAGUCCACCGCAUCUUCAACGUUCUUCCACUUCGUUGUCAAUCCUUCAUCUUCUUCUUUGUCUUCAAGAAGAAGUUCUAAUUUUCCUUGCAAUUCUCCAUCAGCACCUUGAAGAAAUAGAUCAACUUUGUUCGGCUCCAAUGUCAAUUUUUCUACCUUCGAUAAUUGAGAGUACUACCUCUCAAAUUCCCUUAGUAGCUCUGUUGCUUGCAAAUUCUUAUUGGGCCAUUCAAUCCAUUCCAGAAACAGCUUCUUAGUAACGCGAUCAACAUCUUCCAAGAAAUUUUCGGCUUUAAAUGCAUGUAAAAAAUCCUCCCAUGAAUUCCCACAACGAUCCGUAAUCGAUGUAAUGUGGUCCCUUAUCUCCGGUAUCGUGGCAAGUCCAAAUAGUGCAACCAUUUUCUUCUCAAAAACCCGAUUUAAUUCCAUUUCACAAAAAUAACAUCUUAAAUACCUUGAAAUAUUCCUCCCAUCAAAUUGAUCAAUUUUAUUGACCACUGCUUGCAAUGCUUUGGUUGCCAAAGCUUCCUUUCGAUCAUUGCUUUGCUGUUGCUGCAUUGACAAUGAGAAGGCUUGAAACAUACUAGGAAUAGACGGAUCCAUGUGCACACCUUGUCCUUUAGAAGACUCCCCACCAGAAACUCCUCCCAAAAAUCCUUCAAAAUUUUUAUUUUCGUUGUCCAUAAAAUAAAGAUAAAAUCAAACAAAAUCCAAUACCUUCCACCUCAAGCUUUCACGUUGGGUUCACCACUUUUUAUCGUAUUACGUGCUUUCCUACUCGAGAACGCGCCUGGCGUCUGGUUGUAGAAGGUAGUAUGGAGAUUCGCCAAUAGUCAAGCAGUCUAUCAAUUUUUGACUACUAGAAUAUAAACGACUGUAAGAAUAUACCAUAAAUCUAUACGGAUGCCCUUCGACUGCUUGUCGAAGUCCUUUUUGCCCCAACAGAUAAGUCUCUAGACGUUACAGAGAACCCCGAACAACCCAAACUGUUAAUCUUCGAUACCGCUUUGUACUCACGAUCUUGUAUCCACUGACUGUCUCGUUAGAUUAACCCAACAAAUUUCAUUCACUCCGCAUACUCAAUCCUAUACACACCCUUUUAAUUCUCCAAUCACAGACGUAACUCCGAUUUCAUAAAACAGUCAAGAGUGAUCACA
rnacentral:lncRNA from 1 species